UAGGUAUAACAGAUAGCGACUUGAAUAAUCAAGAGGAAAGUCCGAGCUGCUGUAAGACAGUGUUCCAUUUAACGAAUGGCCGUAGUAAUGCGAGGGAAAGUGCAACAGAAAAUAGACUUCUACUAUUAGUCGUUAUUUGAGCAAAAGCCCAAAUAACUUUCGCUAGCCGCUAAGGCACUAAAGCAUAAAAAUACUUUCGGUAUUUUUCUAACUUUUUGCGAGCUAAAAGUAGUAAAGGUGAAAAGGUGGGGUAAGAGCCUACCAGUUUCUAUAGUAAUAUAGAGAGCUUGUAAACCCAACAUGGCAGCAAGAAACAGGUGGUCAGCGUCUUACAAUGCUACUGUUUCGCUAGAGACAUGAUGUAAAUCAUGGAGUAGAUUAAUCCUAUCAAAACAAAACUCGGCUUAUGUUAUACCUGUCUU
rnacentral:RNase_P_RNA from 1 species